GAUGCCAGGGUCAAAAGGUCUAAGCCCACAUGAGCUUGCUCAUAGGUGGGUGAAAGACCUUAGGAUCCGCCCCGAUAUAAGCAUAAAAGUGGGAUGAUAAUCCCACGAUAUGCGAAUAUUGGGUAGGAUUGUGGAGCAAUCCGUAG
rnacentral:sRNA from 1 species